rnacentral:rRNA from 1 species
AUGGUCGUUUUCAGGAGAAACAUUUCUACGAUGCUCAGAGGCAUGGGAUUUAUCAUAGGCACCAGCACCAGCAGGAGAUUGAGGAAGGUAUGUGCCCGGUCUUACGGAUCUGCGCCGCCUGCUCAUCCGUUCGCUCCGCUUCUUGGCUCCUCCUCGCCUCCGCGGCCUCCCUCUUCGCCUCUGCUCUGCUCCUCGCUGAUGCCAGCUUCCUCGCAAGCCUGUCGUGCUCGCGAGCUCGCUUUCUUUCCAUCUUCGCCUGCGAUCCGGAGGAAAGUUAUUUCGUUAGAUGCUGAAUGCUUGACUUUUCUCUCAGCUAUGAGCUGUACAAUUUUAUUUAGGGAUGGUUUAUAUGGUAAUUCAGAGGAACUAAGCAGUUUUUUGAGCAAUUCAAAGAAACUAUGCUGUGCUUCUUAUGCUGCAGUGCCAGUGAUUACAGAUCAGACCUACGAAAUUUCAAGAUGUGCUUCAGAUUAG